AAAUGGUUUCUAAUCAUUUAGUUUUGAGAUUGGUGUACUGUGUGUAAGUAUAUAUAUUUAUCACAUGCUGUCACUAUCCUCGAAAGUGAGGGUGCACAAC
rnacentral:pre_miRNA from 1 species